rnacentral:rRNA from 1 species
AUGAGUUCUACAUGGGCUCCAUUAACCUCACUCGCCUUAACCUACGGGAUCAUCUCGCUCAUCCCCAAAGUGCCCGAGGCUACCAACAUCCGUCAGUUCUGCCCCAUUACGGUGAUCGAUGUGAUCUUUCGUAUACUGGCAAAAGGGUACGCCAAUAGGGUGACCCUACUUGCUGACCGCAUUACCCACCCCAACCUAUUGGUCUUCGUUCAAGGCCGCUAUAUCCUGUACGGGGUCCUAAUCUUUGAUGAGGUCCUUCAUGAGGUCCGCUUGAAGCGUCUUAAGGCGGGCUUCCUGAAGAUUGACUUUCAUAAAGCCUAUGAUACGGUUUGCUGGUCAUUCCUUCAGGAAGUUUUACUCCGAAAAGGUUUCAAUAAUCGUUGGGUCACCCAUGUGAUGCAGAUGGUUUCUUGUGGCCGGACUACCAUUAACAUUAAUAGGGAGAUCGAGCCCUACUUCCCCACCUUCUGUGGGGUUAGGCCAGGUGAUCCAUUCUCCCCUUUCGUGUCUAACAUGGUGGUCAAUGCCCUCGCCUUCAUCCUUGACAAGGUGAAGGCUGCUGGCCAUAUUCGUGGGAUCAUGCCUCAUCUGGCUAGUGGUUGUGGGAUAUUGCUCCUCCAGUAUGCCGACGACACCAUUAUCAUGGUGGAAGGCUCUAAUGCGGAUAUGUCCAACCUGAAAUUUCUACUCCCGUGCUUCCAACAAAUGUCCGGCCUCAAGAUCAACUUCGACAAGAGUGAUGUGAUGGUGAUGGGCUAG